CAUAUACUCCCUCAGUUCCACGAUACAUGUCUUCCAUUUAUCAAAAUAUAGAUGUAUCUAGACAUAUUUUAGUAUAUAAAUACAUCCAUUUUUGGACAAAUGAAAGUCAAGUAUUUUGGAACGGAGGGAGUACACG
rfam:Triticum urartu cultivar G1812 contig208689, whole genome shotgun sequence.